CCCCAGACUCCUACGGGAGGCAGCAGUGGGGAAUAUUGGACAAUGGGGGAAACCCUGAUCCAGCGACGCCGCGUGAGUGAAGAAGUAUUUCGGUACGUAAAGCUCUAUCAGCAGGAAAGAAAAUGACGGUACCUGACUAAGAAGCCCCGGCUAACUACGUGCCAGCAGCCGCGGUAAUACGUAGGGGGCAAGCGUUAUCCGGAUUUACUGGGUGUAAAGGGAGCGUAGACGGCAGCGCAAGUCUGGAGUGAAAGGCGGGGGCCCAACCCCCGGACUGCUCUGGAAACUAUUUGACUGGAGUGCAGGAGAGGUAAGCGGAAUUCCUAGUGUAGCGGUGAAAUGCGUAGAUAUUAGGAGGAACACCAGUGGCGAAGGCGGCUUACUGGACUGUAACUGACGUUGAGGCUCGAAAGCGUGGGGAGCAAACAGGAUUAGAUACCCGCGUA
rnacentral:rRNA from 1 species